UACGUAGGGGGCUAGCGUUGUCCGGAUUUAUUGGGCGUAAGGAGCGUGUAGGCGGCCAGGUAGGUCUGGUGUGAAAUCUCCGAGCUUAACUCGGAACGGUCAGCUGAUACUGCUGUGCUAGAGUACAGAAAGGGCAAUCGGAAUUCUUGGUGUAGCGGUGAAAUGCGUAGAUAUCAAGAGGAACACCUGAGGCGAAGGCGGGUUGCUAGGCUGAUACUGACGCUGAGUGCGCGAAAGCUAGGGUAGCAAACGGG
rnacentral:rRNA from 1 species